GAUGAAGAACGUAGCGAAAUGCGAUAAGUAAUGUGAAUUGCAGAAUUCAGUGAAUCAUCGAAUCUUUGAACGCACAUUGCGCCCUCUGGUAUUCCGGGGGGCAUGCCUGUUCGAGCGUCAUUAUAACCACUCAAGCUCUCGCUUGGUAUUGGGGUUCGCGGUUUCGCGGCCCCUAAAAUCAGUGGCGGUGCCUGUCGGCUCUACGCGUAGUAAUACUUCUCGCGAUUGAGUUCGAUAGGUCUACUUGCCAGUAACCCCAAAUUUUUACAGGUUGACCUCGGAUCAGGUAGGGAUACCCGCUGAACUUAAGCAUAUCAAUAAGCGGAGGA
rnacentral:misc_RNA from 1 species